CACCGCGGUUAGACGAAAGGCCCAAGUUGACAGACACCGGCGUAAAGGGUGGACAAAAGGACAAAAAACUAAAGCCGAACAUCCCCCUGGCUGUUAUAAGCACUCGGAGGAAUGAAGCCCCACCACGAAAGUGGCUUUACCUUGCCUGAACCCACGACAGCUAAGAAA
rnacentral:rRNA from 1 species